CAUAAACAGUAGCUGAGCUGAUACUGAAAUGGGGGUGACAAUAUUUCUUGUUUGAAGCUUGAUUUGUGAUGAAGAUAAGAAAGUUAUGUGACAGAGAUUCUCCUCCCUGGCAUGUUGUACCAGCGAAGAGACACAGUGCUCCAUUCAUUCUACCCUGUCUGAUGGGAAAAGAAAAUCUGCACAGCCUCCUGGAAAUAUCCAUCAACUGUUACUUAGAGAUGCCAGAGUUGGUAGUAACGUCCUAACUCUGCUUUAGCUUCUUGGGUG